AUGCCACAGAUAGUUAAAUCAACUACAAUCCUGUGUACACAUACCCACUUGGAGGCCCAAGAUGGCGUUGUCCACGGGCUCGGGCUGCGGGUGAUGGUCUGCAGGCAGGAGCUGCCUUGCGCCUGGCACACCCUGCACAGCUCCGUGGUCUGUGCCAAGAACCAGGCAGCAUAACAAGGGAGACAAGCCUGUGAGCUAUGAGGAGGCACAUGCCCCGCACUACAUCGCACACCGAAAGGGCUGGCUGUCACUGCAUACAGGUAACCUGGAUGGAGAAGAUCAUGCUGCAGAGAGAACCCAGGAGGAUGUUUGUCUUCGAAAGUUUAUGGUGGGCACCUUUCCAGGCUGCCUGGCUGACCAGAUUAUUCUGAAGCGCAGGGCCAACCACGUGGACAUCUGUGCCCUGGUCCUCGGAAAGCUGCCAGCACACAAAUUCUACUUUCUCGUGGGCUACAGUGAGACUCUGUUGUCACACUUUUACAAGUGUCCUGUGAGACUCCACCUUCAAACUGUGCCCUCCAAGGUCGUGUACAGUACAUAUAAAGGGUGUUCUUUCUUUCGUCAAGCUGUAACCUGCAAAGGCCCACAGAAGUGAAGUCGAUCAAAUGCCUGCUCCCAGUGGGUGGAGGCGUGGACUCCAAGCUGCUGUUGAAUAAAACCCUGAUAAUGUUUUGU